GAGAAGUUUCUCCCCAAUUUACUUAUGUAGGCUAAAAAUCAGAAGAUCAAUUAAGCAGGACUUCUAAACAAAGAUGCUUUGUACAGGGGAUUUACUAAUACUGCCUAUCUUUGGGGGGAAGUCCAAGGACCUUAGCAGUACCUUGCCAAAGAACAAUAAAGAAAUCAUCACCCCCUUUUAAUUUCAUCUGAUUCUUCUAAGAAGGAAAAACUGUCACAGCAUUAGAUGAUCUUGGUAUAACUCUACAGUAUUAUCCUAACAAUAGCAAAUAACGUACCAUUAAGAGUUGUCGAAAGAAAUAAUUCCAUAGCAAUGUGAGAAAGAAAUAACAAAGUUGGAUUCCUACCCCAUAUCUUACUGAGGAUAAAGCCCAAACGGAUUAAAGAUUUCAAUAUUAAAGAUGAAGAAACCACAGGAGACCCAAAAGCCAUAGAAGACAAGACUGGUCUGCCACUUCACCCCAUCCCCUCAGGCGAAGCGCCAACAAUCGAUGGCUGUGGACAGAGGAGAAAGAACGACAACAGAAAUAUUAAAAUCAAGACUUCUCGACCUUGACCUGCCCGCGAGGCAAGCAGGAGCCGCCGGAGAGCCUGGGUGUCGUGGCUGUGUGGGGCUGGCCUUCCUCCCUCCACCGCAGCGCGACCGUAGGUUUCAGAAGAGGAAAAAGAACAUCUUAAUCUAAACUCUCUGAAAGCUCCGUUCUGUCUUGGCUAAGGGAAGCCAGGGAAAGAGUUUAGUCUUUGCUUCAGCCAGAAUCAUUAAGGAGGCAGCUGAACCUGGGUGCCAGCAGGAACUAGAAUGAAAGAACCCAAAGAAGAAGGUGAAAAUUGUGAUUCAGAGGUGUCUACCUAUCCUCUGAAAAAUUACUUUCAAGCACUAACCUUGCAAGUUCUGAGUAAGAAAAGGAAUCUCAAAGAGGACCCUUGUAUGUGUUCUCUCCCCUCUCUCAGUAAUAUCUCAAUAACAGAACCCCCUGUUGUUACAAGCCACACGCCUAUCCAGUAUAAAGACUAUUUUCCAACCUUC